rnacentral:rRNA from 1 species
UACGUAGGGUGCAAGCGUUAAUCGGAAUUACUGGGCGUAAAGCGUGCGCAGGCGGUUUUGUAAGUCUGUCGUGAAAGCCCCGGGCUCAACCUGGGAAUUGCGAUGGAGACUGCAAGGCUUGAAUCUGGCAGAGGGGGGUAGAAUUCCACGUGUAGCAGUGAAAUGCGUAGAGAUGUGGAGGAACACCGAAGGCGAAGGCAGCCCCCUGGGUCAAGAUUGACGCUCAUGCACGAAAGCGUGGGGAGCAAACAGG